ensembl:lncRNA
GUGCAACUCAAGCCAUUCCCCAGAGGCUUGGUACCAUCGCCUUGCUGGAAUCAGAUUACAAGGGAAACUUGGGUCAUCAAGGAACAUCGUUUAAUAACAAAGUCAUCUCCGACAGUCCCAGGGGACCUCAGUGUAGGAGGCUGUGAAUCACUGAAGACGUGGGAAAAUGGUAGCAAAAGGAAGAAAAAAAAGACCAGUUUGCAAGAGAAAAACAGGUAUAAACGAGCUGAUCCCUGCAUGAAAACUCAUUUCUUUUAAGUAGCCACGCUCUGAUACCAUGCUUUUCAUAGCAAAAUUCCUACAAUGAAUUCUGAAGCAACUAAUGCAACAUUAAGGUGUGAAUCCAGGCAGCUCCAGCCAGCAGAGAAGAAAAGAGCAUCACUAAGCAGCAAGACUGAGAAGGUGAAACAAAUACAUCAGGAGGAACCACCCUGAAGCUGCAAACUUUGGCUAGGACCAUAAGAAAGAUAAAAUCAUAACCCAGGAGAUAAAUCAAAUACAAAACAUCACUCACAAUAUAUCUUUUUAGUUCAUUCUCACAUCCGUAACGUUGUCACUUUUGUAAUGCAACUAAUGACUACUCUGAAAAAAAAGAAUAAAGAACACCAAGAAAAUAAUAGUAUUCUUUUCUUCUCCAGUCUGAGAUUUGGCACCAUCUCCACUUUUUCUCCUUUCUGCCCAAUUGGUGAAUACACCUCAUGUAUGAUUGAUUAGAAAACAUAAGCAUUCGGCUCAGGGAGCUUCUCUGGCACAGAUGCUUGUAUUCUUGAUCCCCCCUAUCAUCUGAAGUUAAGCUCCUUAAAAUCAUAAAGGAGCAGAGACUGAUUGAAUAUUCAAGCCUACUGCUGUUUAUAUCCAGUCCGCAUCUCAAGAGGAAAAGCACGAACUGCUUCCCAAUGAAGCAGCCGUUCCUCCCACAAGAGCCCACGGUGCCAGGGCUCUUAGCAAAUGCCUGGUGCAACUACUCUUGAGCGUUCCCCCUGCACACUGGUGCCAACACACAGAUCACUGCGUCCCCGUGGGCUGGCGUGCUCCUAACAGCUUCAUCUGUCACCAAUCCUUUCACCAGACUUCACUUCCGUGGCUCCUUGGUGUACGCUCUGUCUGCUCUCCAUCAUUAUUGCACAGAACACUGCAAUUAUUUGGGCUGCUCUCUUCAGUUUGAGCUGUUUCUUCCUUUUGUAUGUGGGCUGAGGGCAUUUUUUUUUUCCUUCUUAAUUAAAGGGUUUUGUUUACAGUAUCAGUUUCCUGAAUGGAGAUUUAUGCAGACCCCAUAAUUAUAACAGUCCCAAUAAACUGCACAAACUGUCAUUUACAGUUACAACACAGUGUUAAAGUUAUUUAUACAUCAGCAUAGCAUCUCUGCUAUGUCAA